CACGUAGGGUGCGAGCGUUGUCCGGAAUUAUUGGGCGUAAAGAGCUCGUAGGCGGUGUGUCGCGUCGGCCGUGAAAACCUGCAGCUUAACUGUGGGCUUGCGGUCGAUACGGGCAUCACUGGAGUUCGGCAGGGGAGACUGGAAUUCCUGGUGUAGCGGUGAAAUGCGUAGAUAUCGGGAGGAACACCAGUGGCGAAGGCGAUCAUCUGGGGUUGUUCUGACACUGAGGAGCGAAAGCUAGGGGAGCAAACGGG
rnacentral:rRNA from 1 species